rnacentral:rRNA from 1 species
GACGAACGCUGGCGGCGUGCCUAAUACAUGCAAGUCGAACGAACUCUGGUAUCGAUUGGUGCUUGCAUCAUGAUUUACAUUUGAGUGAGUGGCGAACUGGUGAGUAACACGCGGGAAACCUGCCCAGAAGCGGGGGAUAACACCUGGAAACAGAUGCUAAUACCGCAUAACAACUUGGACCGCAUGGUCCGAGCUUGAAAGAUGGCUUCGGCUAUCACUUUUGGAUGGUCUCGCGGCGUAUUAGCUAGAUGGUGGGGUAACGGCUCACCAUGGAAAUGAUACGUAGCCGACCUGAGAGGGUGAUCGGCAACAUUGGGACUGAGACACGGCCCAAACUCCUACGGGAGGCAGCAGUAGGGAAUCUUCCACAAUGGACGAAAGUCUGAUGGAGCAACGCCGCGUGAGUGAAGAAGGGUUUCGGCUCGUAAAACUCUGUUGUUAAAGAAGAACAUAUCUGAGAGUAACUGUUCAGGUAUUGACGGUAUUUAACCAGAAAGCCACGGCUAACUACGUGCCAGCCGCCGCCGUAACAC